CAGGAAAGACACUCGCAACCUCGAAAUCGAUUGGACAGAGGCAGACCCGGUUUCUCCUCAUCCCCAUCAAUGGCCCCUUCCCCUUCCUCGAAUCAUUGGUCAGUUUGUCUUGAGGGCGGUCCCCUCUGGGCGGAAGAGGAUGAUUUCCCUCUCUUCUUUGUUUCCAUGGAGAUCGUCUUUCCGCUUUGGCGUCUUGGAGGGCUGAGGUGAUUUUGGGGAUCCCCUGGAUCCUUUGAGGCUUCCAAGAGGGCGGUCCAUGAGUGUUCCCUACUUUGAUGGAAACAAACCCCCACCCCACCCAGACUGAAAACAUCCUAAGGACCACCUCUAUCUGGAGACUUCUGGUAAAUAUUCCAGUUUCCAUAGGAAAGAUGGACAAGAUCAAUCCCACUUCAGAUUGCUGAAGGAAAAGAAUCUGGGAAGACAUGACAAGAUCUGGACAUCUUGAUUAUGUUCUUAUCUCCAGCUUGCUACACUAGAGUCUUCAGAGAACUCUCCCUUGAAUGAGACCUAGGGAUUUCUUGGUUGAACUUAGUUAUUUUGCUCCUAAUGGGAACAUUCCUUUACUCUGUAUGAUCUGAUAUAUAUUUUUGUAUGCAUAUUUUCUCCGAUUUCUCUUUUGCUACCAGUUUGAAUAAAUGGGUUUUCAUUGAUAA